rnacentral:rRNA from 1 species
GACGUAGGGGGCGAGCGUUGUCCGGAUUCAUUGGGCGUAAAGCGCGCGUAGGCGGCUGCGCAAGUCGGUUGUGAAAUUCCGGGGCUCAACCCCGGAACUGCGUCCGAUACUGCGUGGCUAGAGGUAGGUAGGGGAGAUCGGAAUUCCUGGUGUAGCGGUGAAAUGCGCAGAUAUCAGGAGGAACACCGGUGGCGAAGGCGGGUCUCUGGGCCGAUACUGACGCUGAGGAGCGAAAGCGUGGGGAGCAAACAGG